AGUUGCGAUCAUACCAGCACUAAUGCACCGGAUCCUAUCAGAAUUCCGCAGUUAAGCGUGCUUGGGCAAGAGUAGUACUAGGAUGGGUGACCCCUUGGGAAGUCCUCGUGUUGCAACCUCUUUUUUUUCUUUUUUUGGUUUAUUUUAUUUACUAGUCGCUGUAUUUUUGGCGUAGCAUGCGAGCGGCCGAUUUUGUGAAAGGAAGGCUUUGACGAAGGCGCGUGACGUAGUCCUCACAUGAGGGCAUAGGUGCGAAUGGGAUCAAGGCGUGGUAAGGUAUAAAGGAAUAAGGAGAAGGUAUUCUUUCGGUUGCGAUCAUACCAGCACUAAUGCAUUGGAUCUCAUCAUAACUCCGUAGUUAAGCGUGCUUGGGCGAGAGUAGUACUAGGAUGGGUGACCCCCUGGGAAGUCCUCGUGUUGCAACCC
rnacentral:lncRNA from 1 species